GAUGAACGCUGGCGGCGUGCCUAACACAUGCAAGUCGAACGGAGAUUACGGACGGAAGUUUUCGGAUGGAAGACUGUAAUUCUUAGUGGCGGACGGGUGAGUAACGCGUGGGCAACCUGCCCUAUACAGGGGGAUAGCAGCUGGAAACGGCUGGUAAGACCGCAUAAGUCGGCGAGACCGCAUGGUUUUGCCGGGAAAUGAGCAAUCAGGUAUAGGAUGGGCCCGCGUCCGAUUAGCCAGUUGGCAGGGUAAAAGCCUACCAAAGCAACGAUCGGUAGCCGGACUGAGAGGUCGGACGGCCACAUUGGGACUGAGACACGGCCCAAACUCCUACGGGAGGCAGCAGUGGGGGAUAUUGCACAAUGGAGGAAACUCUGAUGCAGCGACGCCGCGUGAGUGAAGAAGUAUUUCGGUAUGUAAAGCUCUAUCAGCAGGGAAGAUGAUGACGGUACCUGACGAAGAAGCCCCGGCUAACUACGUG
rnacentral:rRNA from 1 species